GAACAGAGAGAGUUCAAACCCCGUAUCAUGUGACAAGGUUCACCUGAGAGCACUACAAUUAUGAAUCAACACUGAACCGAAGGGUCUAUGGAAGUAAUCUGUCAUGUUCACACGAUUAUAAUGAUCACCACCUUCAUGAUGUAUUAGGCUAAUGGAGAGGUGGUACUACUAUAAUACUACAUGAUGUAUUAGGGUCAUGGAGAGGUGGUACUACUAUAUUACUACAUGAUGUAUUAGGGUCAUGGAGAGGUGGUACUACAUGAUGUAUUAGGGUAAUGGAGAGGUGGUACUACUAUAUUACUACAUGAUGUAUUAGGGUCAUGGAGAGGUGGUACUACAUGAUGUAUUAGGCUAAUGGAGAGGUGGUACUACUAUAAUACUACAUGAUGUAUUAGGGUCAUGGAGAGGUGGUACUACUAUAAUACUACAUGAUGUAUUAGGCUAAUGGGGAGGUGGUACUACUA